UGUGCAGACAGGACCUGGAAAGCAGGAAGAGGCAGGUGUCCUGUGACAGAGGGUAGGUGAUAUAUUCUGGGAAAUAUAGGGACUGCCAUCCCAGUGAAAUUCCAGAGCAGAGUUUAAUAAUAUAGGGGAAUAAAGGUCAAGUUCUUCAUCUUGAGCUCCCUAUCUCUAAGAAUGAGGCAUGGGGCACCUGGGUGGCUCAGUUGGUUUAGUGUCUGCCUUUGGCUCAGGUCAUGAUCUCAGGGUCCUAGGAUAGAGCCCCCCUCCCUGUUGGGCUCCCUGCUCAGUGGGGAAUCUGCUUCUCCCUCUCCCUCUGCCCCCCCAACUUAUGCUCUCUCUCUCUCUCAAAUAAAUAAUUAAAAAAAAAGGAUGGGGCACAAUGUUUGAUGAGUUUCUUUGGAUUUUGGAGCCAAUAUGUAUCAUAUUUAGGUAACCUGCUUUAUUAGGAAACCUGAAAAGUGGCCUGUGGCCCCAUGGGGGUUGUGUAUUUGUGUGUGUGUGUGUGUGUGUGUGUGUGUGUAUGUAUAUAUAUACAUACAUAUGUAUAUAUUUUUCCUUUUUUUGCCAUGUUUACAACAGGCUUUUCUACACCUGACUGGAGGACAUGUCUUCUUGUGUGCACAUGGAAAUGGCAAAUGAGCAUGAGUAGGGAUUGUGUCAGAGUGGCCUAAAAGGCAGUAUGCCUACCUAUCUCUAUGAGUAACUUAUGAGUCAGGCUUCUGGAAGAACUGUGUGCUUCCGGCAGAGGCUAUCGGCCACGAUGGAACGUUUUAUGGAUAUGCCUCCACCACAAGCUAUCACCAUACGCGGCUUUACUAGAUCACUGCAUACUAUCGGAGGACAUCUGAGGUCAAGAGAGAGAGACAGCACAAGCAGAGGGAGAAGCAGGCUCUCCGCUGAGCAGGGAACCCGACUCCAGACUCGAUCCUAGCACGCGGGGAUCAUGACCUGAGCCGAAGCCAGACGCUUAAUCGAUGGAGCCACCCAGGCAUCCUGAGAAAUAAAUUCUUUCGAAGAGUGUGUUAUCCAUAUAGAGAGAAAAGAUAUGGAACCCAGACUAAUUGAAUAACUUAUAAAAGAUGUCCUUUGGCAGAAUGCAGUGAUGGAUAUGGGCAACAGGGGCUGUCUGUGUUUAAGAUGGGUCCCAGAGGGUUGGAGCAGUCAGAAAAGGCUUGAAAGGAUUGAGAAGAUUGAAAUGAGAGCGGAAAGCUUUCAACCAAGGCUAGGAGACAAGUGCGUUUAUCCUUGGUGACGAUAUCAACGAGCUUACCGGGAGUAGGUGUGGGACUGAAGUCUGAAGGAGUAUCAAAGGGUGAGGUCCUUGCAUGCCAGGCCAUGGGGGGCAGACUCGCGGCGAA